rnacentral:lncRNA from 13 species
UGAUGUGAGAUUCUGCCCAACAGUAGCUAAACGACUCGGAGUCUUUAACAGAUUGGGUGAUGUCCACCCACCUUGAAAAGGGCAAUCUACUUUGUUCAACUCACUGAAUCAAAUACUGAUCUCAGAAACACUCUCACAAAGAUAUCCAGAAAUAAUGCAUAAGAGUUCAAGACCAGCCUGGCCAACAAUGGUGAAACCCUGUCUCUACUGAAAAUACAAAAAUCAGCCAGUUCCUCACGUUUUUUUUCUUUCAGAGAUAUGAUCUCACUCUGCAUCUGCUGCCCAGGCUGCCAGGCUGAAGUUAAAUGGUAUCAUC